AACGAGCUAUCUGAACCUUCGGGGAACGAUAACGGCGUCGAGCGGCGGACGGGUGAGUAAUGCCUAGGAAAUUGCCCUGAUGUGGGGGAUAACCAUUGGAAACGAUGGCUAAUACCGCAUGAUGCCUACGGGCCAAAGAGGGGGACCUUCGGGCCUCUCGCGUCAGGAUAUGCCUAGGCGGGAUUAUCUAGCUGGUGAGGUAAGGGCUCAGCAAGGCGACGAUCCCUAGCUGGUCGGAGAGGAUGAUCAGGCACACUGGAUCUGAGACACGGUCCAGACUCCUACGGGAGGCAGCAGUGGGGAAUAUUGCACAAUGGGCGCAAGCCUGAUGCAGCCAUGCCGCGCGUCUGAAGAAGCCCUUCGGGUUGUAAAGCACUUUCAGUCGUGAGGAAGGUAGUGUAGUUAAUAGCUGCAUCAUUUGACGUUAGCGACAGAAGAAGCACCGGCUAACUCCGUGCCAGCAGCCGCGGUAAUACGGAGGGUGCGAGCGUUAAUCGGAAUUACUGGGCGUAAAGCGCAUGCAGGUGGUUUGUUAAGUCAGAUGUGAAAGCCCGGGGCUCAACCUCGGAAUAGCAUUUGAAACUGGCAGACUAGAGUACUGUAGAGGGGGGUAGAAUUUCAGGUGUAGCGGUGAAAUGCGUAGAGAUCUGAAGGAAUACCGGUGGCGAAGGCGGCCCCCUGGACAGAUACUGACACUCAGAUGCGAAAGCGUGGGGAGCAAACAGGAUUAGAUACCCUGGUAGUCCACGCCGUAAACGAUGUCUACUUUGAGGUUGUGGCCUUGAGCCGUGGCUUUCGGAGCUAACGCGUUAAGUAGACCG
rnacentral:rRNA from 1 species